CCCUCAACAACUGCAGCUGCUGAACCGACUUAUGUCGUCCGAUGUGUCUUAAGUGAUACCCCAUUUUCAGCUGAUCUCAACGACCCUUCCAGCAGCGCUUCCAUGGACGUUCGAGGACGUCUUAUACCCACAUUGCUUUUCAUCUAUCGUGGACGAUUUGGUGUCCUCAUUGUUCGCGUCUUUAUUGUUCAAUUCCGUCUACUUCCAGCACGAACGAACAGAACUGAAGUAGAUGUGGGGGUUGUAUUCCAACGAAACACAACAACUCUCCCAUCAAAUGCAGUUGUUGGUCAAACCUUGGUAGACGCUGUUAGUAACACCACCAAUAACUUCAACAUUACAAUAGAUGGUACAGCAGUAUCGAUACAAGAUUCACCCGUAACUGAUAAUACCACGACCACUGCACCUACAAUUGCCAAUGCAACAACUGCCGCACCUGUGACCACUGCACCUACAACUGCUGCCACAACAAAACACAAAAUCAGCUUAAGCACUACAUUCCUCCUGG